GCUUUCAAAUCUCUCUCUCUUUUUCUCUCCGUCUCUCUUCUCGCCCCUGCUCCCUCCUCCUCCUCCUCCUCCUCCUCCUCCUCCUCCACCUCCCUCCCUCCUCUUCCUACCUGAUUCAGAUCCGCUCCGACGCUAUGCGUAUGACCGCGUCUCUCUCUGCAAGGCGAGCACCACCGGAGAGACCCGCACGCUGCUACUGCCGCCGCCGCUGACCGCGAGCACCUAAACGCCGGCUGACGAGCGACCCAGGCCGGGCAACAGGAGCGGGAGCCGCCGCCGCUGAUAACCGUCCGGCGGAGGAGCAGGAGGACAAAAUUAACGUGCGAAGAGUUGGCCCUGGAUAGAGAGAUCGGCAAGAGGACGAGUGUGGCGUCCCGGAGCCUGCUGUCCCAUUCGUCAUCCUCUCCUCUCUUCCUCUACUCAGCCAAGCUUUCACCUCGCCAAACUCCACUCUUCUUCUCCUCUUUUUUUUUAUUCCUCCUCCUCCUCUGCAACUGGCAAACUUUCCAUCCAUUUCUUUCACACUUGUGUCUUCUCUCUGUUUCUCUGUCGUGUUUUUUUUUUUUCUCUCAUCCUCCCUCUCUGUUCCUUUUGCUUUCGACUGUGAGCUCGGCUCGUCAUGGCGUCUAAACUGAACCCCAACGUCCUGUACGUGGCAGAGCACGGCGAGCCGCUGGGGUCACCUCAGGCGGACUCUGAAAGGACCCACAUUACACCCUGCGGCCGGGAUGCUCAGAACAGAGGAUCCACUGACUGCUCGCUAGCUAUCACUGUACCCUGGACGACUUGGGAAAGAGCAAAUUCAACGAAAAUAGUCUAUUUAACCAAGAUUUCGUGGCAUGGCUGAAACCAGUACAAAGCUCUUGUAUUUUAUGCAAAAGUUUUUCUUUUUUGUCACCUAAAUCAUUAUUAAAACAAUUUUUGUGACAUUGACAUGUCGGUUACAACAGCAUUACAAGAUAACUGAAAAGUAACAAGAGCUAACAAAACAAAAACUGGUUGGGUAAAUACACAUUUACAGCCAUAAGGAUUAGCGUCUAUUGAUUGUUAUUCCAGUCCAGUGUCGUCUUUUUGAGUCUUGUUUUCUUUCCAGUUGUGCUUCUUGCAGUCUCAGUAUGUGUCAAUUUCUCCAUUAAAAAGAGUUCU